rnacentral:rRNA from 1 species
AACGAACGCUGGCGGCAUGCCUAACACAUGCAAGUCGAACGAGACCUUCGGGUCUAGUGGCGCACGGGUGCGUAACGCGUGGGAACCUGCCCUUAGGUUCGGAAUAACUCCCCGAAAGGGGUGCUAAUACCGGAUAAUGUCUUCGGACCAAAGAUUUAUCGCCUUUGGAUGGGCCCGCGUUGGAUUAGCUAGUUGGUAGGGUAAAAGCCUACCAAGGCGACGAUCCAUAGCUGGUCUGAGAGGAUGAUCAGCCACACUGGGACUGAGACACGGCCCAGACUCCUACGGGAGGCAGCAGUGGAGAAUAUUGGACAAUAGGCGAAAGCCUGAUCCAGCAAUGCCGCGUGAGUGAUGAAGGCCUUAGGGUUGUAAAGCUCUUUUACCCGGGAUGAUAAUGACAGUACCGGGAGAAUAAGCUCCGGCUAACUCCGUG